rnacentral:rRNA from 1 species
ACGGGGUGCAGCAGGCGCGAAAACUUGUCAAUGCGGGAAACCGCGAACAGGGGAGUCCAAGUGCUUGCACUUUGUGUAAGCUGUUCGGUUGUCUAAAAAACAGCCGAAGGAAGGGCUGGGUAAGACAGGUGCCAGCCGCCGCGGUAAUACCUGCAGCCCGAGUGGUGAUCGAUUUUAUUGAGCCUAAAGCGUCCGUAGCCGGACUAGUAAACCCUUGGGUAAAUUGGGCAGCUUAACUGUCCAAAUUCCGAGGGGACUGCUAGUCUUGGGACCGGGAGAGGUCAGAGGUACUCCAGGGGUAGGGGCUAAAUCCGAUAUGGUCAUGUGCCAUUCGGUUAGCAUUCCUGUAAUCCUUGGGGGACCACCAGUGGCGAAGGCGUCUGACUAGAACGGAUCCGACGGUAAGGGACGAAACCCUGGGGCGCGAACCGGAUUAGAUACCCGGGUAGUCCAGGGCGUAAACGCUGCAGGCUUGGUGUUGGGGACCCUACGAGGGUGCCCAGUGCCGGAGUGAAGAUGUUAAGCCUGCCGCUUGGGGAGUACGUCCGCAAGGAUGAA